AAGCAACAAAUGCCUCCCCCCGCGGUGGGUUUAGAUCUCUCCGUCCCCACUCCUACUUCCCCAGCCCUUCCCUCUCCCAACACCGAUACAAAGCCCUUAUUUUUCCCUCUCCGAGUCCUCUCCCCCAUGGACUCCUCCCAACGCAUGGACGAGGAGGAGAGCUCCCUUCUCCCUUCCCGCUCCACCAAUUCCAAUAACGAGGAAGACGACACCGAGGAGCGCGCCUACGACGCCCGUGAGAAGAUCGUCGUCCGGAUCUCCAACGACGACGCCGGCGACGUCCCGCCCUUCUCCUGGCGGAAGCUCUGGCUCUUCACCGGCCCCGGCUUCUUGAUGAGCAUUGCCUUCCUGGACCCAGGGAAUCUGGAAGGGGACCUCCAGGCCGGCGCCAUCGCCGGGUACUCGCUUCUGUGGUUGCUGUUCUGGGCCACGGCCAUGGGGCUUCUGAUCCAGAUGCUGUCGGCCAGGCUGGGGGUUGCGACGGGCAAGCACCUGGCGGAGCUCUGCCGGGAGGAGUAUCCCGGUUGGGCAAGGCUGGCGCUCUGGUUCAUGGCGGAGGUGGCGAUGAUUGGGGCUGAUAUACAGGAGGUUAUCGGAAGCGCUAUUGCUAUCAAGAUUCUGAGCCACGGAGUGCUGCCGCUUUGGGCUGGGGUCGUUAUCACCGCCAUGGAUUGCUUUAUUUUUCUGUUUCUUGAGAACUAUGGUGUGAGGAAGCUAGAAGCUGUUUUUGCAUUUCUCAUUGCAACGAUGGCCUUUUCCUUUGCUUGGAUGUUUGGUGAAACCAAGCCCAGUGGGAAGGAGCUUCUGAUUGGAGUAUUGGUUCCAAAACUAAGCUCAAAAACCAUAAGGCAGGCUGUUGGGGUUGUGGGCUGUGUCAUUAUGCCGCACAAUGUAUUUCUGCAUUCUGCUCUUGUACAAUCAAGAAAGAUUGAUCCUAACAAAGAAAACCAUGUUCGAGAAGCAUUAAAUUAUUAUUCCAUAGAGUCUACUGUGGCCCUGAUCAUCUCCUUCACAAUAAAUUUGUUUGUUACAACAGUUUUUGCAAAAGACUUUUAUGGUACUAAAGAAGCUAACAGUAUAGGUCUUGAGAAUGCUGGGCAGUUUCUACAAGAGAAGUAUGGUGGAGGGUUAUUUCCUAUUCUUUACAUCUGGGGAGUUGGGCUAUUGGCAGCUGGGCAGAGUAGUACGAUAACAGGCACCUAUGCUGGACAAUUUAUCAUGGGGGGAUUUCUGAAUCUUCGCUUGAAGAAAUGGAUCAGGGCAUUGAUUACUAGAAGCUUUGCAAUUGUGCCGACUAUCAUUGUUGCUUUAUUUUUUGACACGUCUGAUUCUGCAUUGGAUAUUUUAAAUGAGUGGCUCAAUGUGCUGCAAUCUGUUCAGAUCCCAUUUGCGCUUAUCCCACUCCUUACAUUGGUAUCAAGGGAGCAUGUUAUGGGAAUUUUUAGAAUUGGCCCUAUUAUUCAAAUGGUAACCUGGACUGUCACUGCUUUGCUAAUAAUAAUCAAUGGCUACCUCUUGCUGGAAUUCUUCUCUUCUGAAAUAGAUGGCCCAUUGCUUGGUUCUAUUGUGUGCAUUGCCAUAGUUGUAUAUGCAACAUUUAUAGUUUAUCUCAUUUUGCAUGGUGGUGAAUUAUCCACUCGGCUGGCAUCAGCAAUCCGCAAGAGCUUCUCAUGAGGAUUGAACUCAAAAGAGAAUUGAUUUUGCUCUACCAUGUCUGGAAGACACAGAAAAUAAGUUUGCAAUCCCAUAUCUGAGAGAUUGGAGAAAUGUUAUACAGUGAAGCUGCGGGAGUUCCAAGAGCUAUAUUGUGCGAUUGGUUUUUCUAUUGCAGAUCAGUCAGCUAAUCAGCCACAUCAUCAUCGAGUGUUUAUAAUAGGUUUACUGUACUCUGCCACUGUGCUGAAGAGGCCAGUGGUGUGGUCACAGAUGGUAUCAGGUGGCUUAUCCAAGCGUGGAGCUUGUUUCUCUGGUCGCCGGAUCAUUGAAGUGAAUACCAAGAAACAUAUAAAAACACAUCUGUAGGCAACUUGGGGCAGGCAAAGUUUCAAUUGCAACUCAUGAGAGAAGCAGCAGCAGACAGACUAAAUCAGGGAGGUUUUCUUUUAUUAAUCCACUGAAUUGUGUAAUGUGGUAGCAUCAGUCUAAUGUUAGAAAUUUGGCUGGCAUAUGUCUCUCUUAUAUAAAAUAGACCUACUGAAAUUACUGAAUAGAAGGGAGAAUAUCUGGAGCCCGGGUCAUCAUUUAACUGAAUACAAAUACAUGUGCUAAAAAAAAAAAACCAGAGAGAGAGAA